GGGGCACGGGGGGAGGAAAGCAGGGGAUCGCAAGACCUCGCGCUAUUGGAUGAGCCAAAGUCGGAUUAGCUAGUUGGUGGGGUAAUGGCCUACCAAGGCGACAAUCCGUAGCUGGUCUGAGAGGACGACCAGCCACACCGGAACUGAGACACGGUCCGGACUCCUACGGGAGGCAGCAGUGGGGAAUAUUGGACAAUGGGGGAAACCCUGAUCCAGCGACGCCGCGUGUGUGAAGAAGGCCUGCGGGUUGUAAAGCACUUUUAGUGGGGACAAAAAGCCAUUGACGAAUACUCGAUGGUCUUGAUUUAACCCAAAGAAAAAGCACCGGCUAACUCUGUGCCAGCAGCCGCGGUAAUACAGAGGGUGCGAGCGUUAAUCGGAAUUACUGGGCGUAAAGCGCGCGUAGACG
rnacentral:rRNA from 1 species